rnacentral:rRNA from 1 species
UACGUAGGGUCCGAGCGUUGUCCGGAAUUAUUGGGCGUAAAGGGCUCGUAGGCGGUCUGUUGCGUCGGGCGUGAAAAUUCACAGCUUAACUGUGAACUUGCUUCCGAUACGGGCAGACUUGAGGUAUUCAGGGGAGAACGGAAUUCCUGGUGUAGCGGUGAAAUGCGUAGAUAUCAGGAGGAACACCGGCGGUGUAGACGGCUUGCUAGACCACCCCUGACGCUGAGGCACGAAAGCGUGGGUAGCAAACAGG